AUUGAACGCUAGCGGGAUGCUUUACACAUGCAAGUCGAACGAGUGGCGGACGGGUGGAUAAUAUAUCGGCACGUGCCCAGUAGCGGGGGCUAACUACUCGAAAGCGUGGCUACUACCGCAUACUAUGGGUGCGGGCGAUAUCGGAUUAGCUAGUUGGUGGGGUAAAGGCUCACCAAGGCAACGAGCCGUAGCGGGUUUGAGAGGACGACCGGCCACACUGGGACUGAGACACGGCCCAGACUCCUACGGGAGGCAGCAGUGGGGAAUUUUGGACAAUGGGGGAAACCCUGAUCCAGCCAUCCCGCGUGUAUGAGAAGGCCUUCGGGUUGUAAAGUACUUUUGUCAGAGAAGCGGUAUCUGCAGAAUAAGCACCGGCUAACUACGUGCCAGCAGCCGCGGUAAUUC
rnacentral:rRNA from 1 species